AAAUACCAAACAAAAACAAGUCGUCUCCUCAAACCAAACCAAGGAAAACUUCACUCACGCACACACACCUGAAUCCGUUUCAUUCCUCACAUGUUUUUAUUGUUUUGUUGUUGUUUUGUUUUUUGUCUCUCUCCCUCUUUAUUCCUGCAUAC
rnacentral:ribozyme from 1 species